rnacentral:rRNA from 1 species
CAGAGACCUCAAGCGUUAUCCGGAAUCAUUGGGCGUAAAGCGUACCGAUAGGUGGUUUAUUAAGUCUUGGGUAAAAGCCGGAAGCUUAACUUCCGCGUUUGCUUAAGAUACUAAUAGACUAGAGGGGCAAAGAGGUGCUUGGAACGAACGGUGUAGUAGUGAAAUGCGUUGAUAUCGUUCGGAACACCGAAAGCGAAGGCAGAGCACUGGGUGCCACCUGACACUGCUAGGACGAAAGCGUGGGGAGCGAAUGGGAUUAGAUACCCCAGUAGUCCACGCUGUAAACGAUGAGUACUAGGCAUACGCGAGUAUCGACCCUCGUAUGUGCCGUAGCUAACGCGAUAAGUAUUCCGCCUGGGGAGUACGGUCGCAAGACUA